GCCGAAGUGGCGGAACAGGCAGACGCGCACGACUCAAACUCGUGUUCCUUCGGGAGUGUGGGUUCGAUUCCCACCUUCGGCA
rnacentral:tRNA from 4 species